GGAGUUGUGGCUCAGUGGUAGAGCGCUCAUCUAGCAUGUGCGAGACCCUGGGUUCCACCCUCGGCACCA
rnacentral:tRNA from 1 species